AGACCCUUCUCCAGCCACUUCAGGUUUCAUGGGAUUAUGCUCAGCUGGCUCGUCUAGACACUUUGCAGUCAUCAGGGGCAACUCCUCUGGUGGUCUAGAGUGCAACAAGGCACAGUCCUGAGGUCUAAGAAGAGGUCGAGAUCACAGCCAUGAACAUCAAAGCUAUUUACAGAAGAGCCAAAAGGAUGGACCACACAGCCUAGGACCCAUGAAGGAGGAGAGAACCAACUCCUGAAAGUUACUCUCGCCUCCAUAAGCAUGUGUUAUCACUUGUAUGCACAUAUAAUAAAAAGGGGGAAAAAGA